AAUAAAUGCAGUUUUACACUAUUUAUGUCUAACGUUUGACCGUUCGUCUUAUUUAAAAAAAAUUUAUGAUUAAUAUUUUUGUUGUUAUUAGAUGAUAAAACAUGAAUAGUACUUUAUGUGCGACUAACUUUUUUUAAAUUUUUCAAAUAAGACAGGCGGUUAAACAUUGGACAUAGAUUCCCACGACUGCACUUAUU
rfam:Oryza sativa Japonica Group DNA, chromosome 2, cultivar: Nipponbare, complete sequence.